rnacentral:tRNA from 1 species
GCCGGAUUAGCUCAGCUGGUAGAGCACCUGAUUUGUAAUCAGGGGGUCGCGGGUUCGAGCCCUGCAUCCGGCACCA